rnacentral:rRNA from 1 species
UACAGGGGGGGGCAAGCGUUGUUCGGAAUUACUGGGCGUAAAGGGCCAGUAGGCGGCCAACUAAGUCCGACGUGAAAUCCCUAGGCUUAACCUAGGGACUGCGUCGGAUACUGGAUGGCUUGAAUUCGGGAGAGGGAUGCAGAAUUCCAGGUGUAGCGGUGAAAUGCGUAGAUAUCUGGAGGAAUACCGGUGGCGAAGGCGGCAUCCUGGACCAACACUGACGCUGAUGAGCGAAAGCCAGGGGAGCAAACGGG